GACGAACGCUGGCGGCGUGCUUAACACAUGCAAGUCGAUCGGUGAAGGGAUCAGCUUGCUGGUUCUGGAUGAGUGGCGAACGGGUGAGUAACACGUGAGUAACCUGCCCCCUUCUUCUGGAUAACCGCAUGAAAGUGUGGCUAAUACGGGAUAUUCUGCGCCUGCCGCAUGGUGGGUGUGGGAAAGAUAUUGUUUCGGUGGGGGAUGGGCUCGCGGCCUAUCAGCUUGUUGGUGGGGUGAUGGCCUACCAAGGCGGUGACGGGUAGCCGGCCUGAGAGGGUGGACGGUCACACUGGGACUGAGACACGGCCCAGACUCCUACGGGAGGCAGCAGUGGGGAAUAUUGCACAAUGGGCGCAAGCCUGAUGCAGCGACGCCGCGUGAGGGAUGGAGGCCUUCGGGUUGUGAACCUCUUUCGCCAGUGAAGCAGGCCUGUCCCUUGUGGGUGGGUUGACGGUAGCUGGAUAAGAAGCGCCGGCUAACUACGUG
rnacentral:rRNA from 1 species